CUCGUCUCCGAUUCCAUCAUCAUCAUGCCGCCGGUGGCCUGCAUCUCGUAAUCCAUCAAAGAGGCCUGCGUUCCAAUUAUUUGUGUGGCAGGCAACGAAAAGAAAUCUGCAAGGCAAUAAACUGAUUAUGCAACGGCAAUGCAACGCAACACGUUGACACUAUCGAUGCUUGGCCCAAUUACCGAUCGUUUAUUUAUAACCAAUUCGGAGCAGAGCGAGUGUGUUGUCAUUUCUUAUCUUCGAGUUAGUUUCUUUUUUUUUGCUUUUUGUUUGUGCUGAUACCUUAUCAACGCAAUCGGAAACUAUAAGUUAACGAAGGCAUAACUGAGUGCACAGAUUAACAACAACUAAUUAAGAGUAGUCAUAGUUGCAAAAAUAUAUAUG